rnacentral:rRNA from 1 species
CGACUGGAAUUCACCUUCGGGUGUAGUACGGUGGCGGACGGGUGAGUAACUUGCCCUCUAGACUGGGACAACUGUUGGAAACCAAACCGGAUAUUAUGAGAUUCUCGCAUGGGAAACUUAUGAAAGGCUAUAUGCGCUAGAGGAGAGCUUUGCGUGCCAUUAGGUAGUUGGUAGGGUAAUGGCCUACCAAGCCGACGAUGGCUAGCCGGCCUGAGAGGGUGAUCGGCCACAAGGGGACUGAGACACGGCCCUUACUCCUACGGGAGGCAGCAGUGGGGAAUAUUGGACAAUGGACCAAAAGUCUGAUCCAGCAAUUCUGUGUGCACGAUGAAGGUUUUCGGAUCGUAAAGUGCUUUCAGGUGGGAAGAAAAAAAUGACGGUACCACCAGAAGAAGCGAUUACGUGCCAGCAGCCGCGGUAAUACGUAUGUCGCAAGCGUUAUCCGGAAUUAUUGGGCGUAAAGCGCGUCUAGGCGGCCUUUUAAGUCUGAUGUGAAAAUGCGGGGCUCAACUCCGUAU